rnacentral:rRNA from 1 species
GACGAACGCUGGCGGCGUGCUUAACACAUGCAAGUCGAACGCUGAAGCUCAGCUUUUGUUGGGUGGAUGAGUGGCGAACGGGUGAGUAACACGUGAGUAACCUGCCCCCUUCUUUGGGAUAACGCCCGGAAACGGGUGCUAAUACUGGAUAUUCACUGGUCUUCGCAUGGGGGUUGGUGGAAAGGGUUUUUCUGGUGGGGGAUGGGCUCGCGGCCUAUCAGCUUGUUGGUGGGGUGCUGGCCUACCAAGGCUUUGACGGGUAGCCGGCCUGAGAGGGUGACCGGUCACAUUGAGACUGAGAUACGGCCCAGACUCCUACGGGAGGCAGCAGUGGGGAAUAUUGCACAAUGGGCGCAAGCCUGAUGCAGCGACGCCGCGUGAGGGAUGGAGGCCUUCGGGUUGUGAACCUCUUUCGCUCAUGGUCAAGCCGCAACAAUGGUUGUGGUGAGGGUAGUGGGUAAAGAAGCGCCGGCUAACUACGUG